GAUGAAGAACGCAGCGAAAUGCGAUAAGUAAUGUGAAUUGCAGAAUUCAGUGAAUCAUCGAAUCUUUGAACGCACAUUGCGCCCCCUGGUAUUCCGGGGGGCAUGCCUGUCCGAGCGUCAUUACAACCCUCAAGCUCAGCUUGGUGUUGGGCCCCGCCGCCCCGGCGGGCCCUAAAGUCAGUGGCGGUGCCGUCCGGCUCCGAGCGCAGUAAUUCUUCUCGCUCUGGAGGUCCGGUCGUGUGCUCGCCAGCAACCCCCAAUUUUUUUCAGGUUGACCUCGGAUCAGGUAGGGAUACCCGCUGAACUUAAGCAUAUCAAUAAGCGGAGGA
rnacentral:misc_RNA from 1 species